rnacentral:lncRNA from 1 species
CAAGAAGCCGCCAUAGGGCUAGGGUUUUGCAGACUUCUUACUAUUAUUUUUUAAUCAGAACUCCUUCAAGCUAGAAAGUACACCAUGGUACCUAAAUUUAUAAAACAGUUUGAAGAGAGGCCUCUUUAGUGAUCCCUGGGGCACUGUCUGAUUCUGUGGUGCUUUGAUAACUUUUCGAACCAGAACUUCUCUUUCCUCUCUAGGCUUCUCCUGAGCUCCCCAAGAGCUUCCUUCAACGUGGUAUCACCAAGAUGGUGAUGUUUAAAGGGGGUGGGACAAAUCCAAGAGUGUGUGCUUCUGCAGCCACAUGGCUCACAUUUCUUCCUCAGGGAUGGCACGCAGUGAAGGCCUUCCAAGUUGAGGCUGAGGAUCAUAGUGGCAGGGAGAGAGCUGAGGCUGUGAUUGGAGCUCACUCAAGUGGGACAUGCCUGUCUUCAGCCAGCUUUAGUGCAGACAUGACAAAGCAGGCAGACCCCAAAGCCUGGGCCAACAGUGAUGAUAACUCAAGUCUCUCUUAUAAAUAUCUAACAGGCAGAAAAUGCUUUCCCUUCAGGAGGGCACACAAAGACUAACACCAAGGAGAACUUAUUAUGGUACAGCCGCUUCUCUGGUUGGCAAGAGGUAGGGCUGUGACCUGGAGCUGAUUAUGUUUAUUUAAAUUUUAAAAAAUUUUAUUUUUAGAGAGAGGGAGUGUGGUAAAAGAAGAGAGAGACAGAGAGAGACAGAGAGAGAGACAGAGAGAGAGAAUCCCAAGCUCAGCACAGAGCCUGAUGCAGGACUCAAUUCUACAACCCUGGGAUCAUGACCUAAGCCAAAUUCAAGAGUUGGAUGCUCAACCCACUGAGCCACCCAAGCAUCCCUGAUUUUGCUUAUUUAAAAGGAAAGGCAAUUGUUUGGUCACUCAACAAACAUUUGGUGAGCACAUAGAGCUGCUGGGCUUCUGCUGGGCAUGGAAGAUAUUAAGUCAAACCUAACUCUGAAGGGGCCAGGAGGGGAGGUGGUAGAUGUAGGAAAAUCAUGAUCCAUACAUCCAUGCAUUGUCAGCAAUUGGUUUACACAAGCUGCUACAUGGUUAACCAGGUGAAGAAAAGAAGGACAAAAAGCCUUCAAAGCAAAAAGUAGAGCAUGUGUAAGAAGCCCAGUGCCAGGGAAGAAUGGACCAUCCUCCUGGGUGGAGGGGGCAGGAGAGGUGCUGGGGAGUGAAGGGCAGCAUGUGACCUGGUGAGCUGAGCAGGGUAAGAUCUGGUAGGGUGCUGUCUACUGAGCUAGGGAGUUUGGACUUUACCCUACAAGUGAGGAGGAGCCAUUACUGGGUUUUAAGGAAGGGAGAGUCAUGACCACCUCUGUACUCCUCUAUGAAAUGAUAUGAUGUCUAAGAUUUGUAUCCAAAUAAACUCGGGGCAAAAUAUAAAAAGCA